rnacentral:rRNA from 1 species
AGCGAACGCUGGCGGCAGGCUUAACACAUGCAAGUCGAGCGGGCCCUUCGGGGUCAGCGGUCGACGGGUGAGUAACGCGUGGGAACGUGCCCUUCGGUUCGGAAUAACUCAGGGAAACUUGAGCUAAUACCGGAUACGCCCUUAUGGGGAAUGGUUUACUGCCGAAGGAUCGGCCCGCGUCUGAUUAGCUAGUUGGUGAGGUUAUGGCUCACCAAGGCGACGAUCAGUAGCUGGUCUGAGAGGAUGAUCAGCCACACUGGGACUGAGACACGGCCCAGACUCCUACGGGAGGCAGCAGUGGGGAAUAUUGGACAAUGGGGGCAACCCUGAUCCAGCCAUGCCGCGUGAGUGAUGACGGCCUUAGGGUUGUAAAGCUCUUUUCUCCGGGACGAUAAUGACGGUACCGGAGGAAUAAGCCCCGGCUAACUUCGUG